GUGUGCUCUGAGGAAGAGACGGGGAGCUUUACCCAGGGAACUUGAGGUCACAGAACACGAGACGUCAGGCAGAGACCUUUGGGUGUGAGAGGCUGGAGGAGGUAUGAGGACCCAGGGCUUCACUGGAGGCUGUGAAAUAGAUGUGUGUCCCACUGGGCGUUCUGGCCCCCAGGUCUGAGUUCUUGUGAGGUAAGUGUCAGGCAAGAGUACAAGAAAUAGGAGCGACCCUGAGUGGUUAGGGGCACCAAACACGCUGGCCCUGAGAAGUGUGUCAUGGGAUUCUGAGAGGGGCCGGAUUCCUGUGAGGGUUACAAGGGAACCAGUGUGCGCAGCUGUAGGGAGGGUGUGUUGGAGGCCUGGGGGUGCUCCUGGUCUGCAAGGCCAGUACACUGAGUUCUUCAGCCUGUGAGGUGAGCAUAACCGGAGGACACGCGAGCACAGCAUUCCUGAGCAGUCAGGUUUUCCGGCCACAACAUCCUGUGCCAGGAACCAUUGGCUCCAAAGUGAGACGCUGAUCGAGCCACAGCCACUCGUGCCCACCUCUCUCUGCAUCCCCACAGCCGCCAAGCCGAGAGCACAAUCCCAGGCUCUGUCCUCUCUGCACGUAGGCCGGCGAUCCAGCAGUGAUGUGGUUCCAGUUCUCCCCACCCAGAGCCCCCUCCUGCCCUCAGCCUGCGGGGGCUGGCAGAGGAAAUACCGAAUCCAGAUCCAAGGAGGAGAAGAGGAGGAGGAGGAGAAAGUGGCCUGCAGAGCUGUUCCCUCCUUUGCAUUGGAGUCUCAUUUUGAAGCCCUUCCUAUCCUGGGAGCCUACAUUGGCUGCCUUUUCCUCUUCUCCUCAACAAAGAGAUGCACAUAAACACAGGACAGGACUUGGGCUUAAGGUGCAGCAGCCAUCUUGUGACCAUGAAGCAACAGGCAUAAGGAUGAAGUACACCUGAUAUAGAUGCUGCAGUGGAAAAAUGGAAAGUGCCUGGGUCCUUGAUGGUGUCCUUGAUCAACCGCAUCAGCCCUGGAGUUGUCUGUCCCCUAACACUUCUUGUUACAUGAGAAAAAUAAACUCUUAAUUACUCAAGUGAGA